GGUUUUAUAGUUUAAUGAAAAUAUUAAGUUGCAAACUUAAGGAUACAUAAUUUGUUAAGACUU
rnacentral:tRNA from 1 species